rnacentral:rRNA from 1 species
UCUCUCUGAAUCUGCGAACGGCUCCGCAAACCAGUUGUAAACUAUAGCAAGCAAGCCUCGGCGCCGGCGCAAGCUGGUGCUGGGGUAAUAGGGAUAACCCUGGUAAUUCUGAGGCUAAUACAAGAACGUAACCCCUGGUCGACCGGGCAACUGGAAGGCUGGGGGACGUGCAACAUUGCGCAAACAGAUCCAAGGAAACGAUGCACGUUCAGAUCACCAUCCAAACAGUCUUGGGCCCGACUCUCACGGGUGAGGUCCUCGUCUGGGUGACUCUUGCGAUGUGCUUCUGACCUAUCAACUAGAUGGCAGCGUAACGGACAUGCUAUGGUGACAACGGGUACAGAGGAUAAGGGUUCGAUCCUGGAGAGUGGGCCUGAGAGAUU